rnacentral:rRNA from 1 species
AUUGAACGCUGGCGGCAGGCCUAACACAUGCAAGUCGAGCGAGUGGCGGACGGGUGAGUAAUGUUAGGGGAUCUGCCCGCUAUAGGGGGAUAACUACUGGAAACGGUGGCUAAUACCGCAUACUAUCGGAGGAACCCAGAUGGGAUUAGCUAGGAGGUGGGGUAAAGGGUCACCUAGGCGACGAUGCCUAGCUGGGCUGAGAGGAUGAUGAGCUACACUGGAACGUAGACACGGCGCAGACUCCUACGGUAGGCAGCAGGGGGGAAGAUUGCAAAAUGGGCGCAAGCCUGAGGCAGCCAUGCCGCGGGUAUGAAGAAGGCCUUAGGGUUGUAAAGUACUUUCAGCGGGGAGGCGUUACGCGCAGAAGAAGCACCGGCUAACUCCGUGCCAGCAGCCGCGGUAAUAC